GCUUCCUACGGGACGCAGCAGUGGGGGAUAUUGCACAAUGGGGGGAACCCUGAUGCAGCGACGCCGCGUGGGUGAAGGAGUAUUUCGGUAUGUAAAGCCCUAUCGGCAGGGAAGAAGCAAGACGGUACCUGACUAAGAAGCCCCGGCUAACUACGUGCCAGCAGCCGCGGUAAUACGUAGGGGGCAAGCGUUAUCCGGAAUUACUGGGUGUAAAGGGAGCGUAGACGGCUGUGCAAGUCUGGAGUGAAAGGCGGGGGCCCAACCCCCGGACUGCUCUGGAAACUGUAUGGCUGUGGUGCCGGAAG
rnacentral:rRNA from 1 species